rnacentral:rRNA from 1 species
GACGAACCGUGCGAACGUUAUUCGGAAUCACUGGGCUUAAAGCGCGUGUAGGCGGGCCGGCACGUCGAUGGCUGAAAUCCCCCGGCUCAACCGGGGAACGGGCCUCGAUACGACCGGCCUGGAGGGGGGUAGGGGGAGCCGGAACUUCCGGUGGAGCGGUGAAAUGCGUUGAGAUCGGAAGGAACGCCCGUGGCGAAAGCGGGCUCCUGGACCCCACCUGACGCUGAGACGCGAAAGCCAGGGGAGCGAACGGG